AGUUUUACAAACUCCGAGGCAGAAGCAGCAUCACACGUCGAAGAUAAGGUUAAAACUCUUGCUCUAAAUAAAAUACAAAUCACGAAGCGCCUAUCGUGCAAAGACUCUGUGGAGAGGUGAUGAAGAGCUAGCUAUAGCUAUGGCGAAAUCUGGAAAUCUGGCAUUCACAGUUUUGAAUUCAUCACCUUCUAAUUACUUAGUAUCAGCGAUUAAACCCAGAACCAAAACUCUCAGCAUCAUUCAGACUACUUGCAAUUAUGUUAUCGCUGCCACUAGUUCUUCUAACAAAAGCAAUAAGCAGCUCCACUCACCAUUGAUAGGAAAGCCAAGUAGAGCACCACGUCGUCUAAUCACAGUAUCAACGAGUGAUGGAAAAUGGCAUGGUGAAUGGACAAGUGAUUACAAAUUGUCUUUGCAGGACCUACAAUUACAGGAUUUGGUUGAGGUUGAAGAAGACAAAAAGAAAAAUGCCCAAGUGUUGGUCAGCCUUAGCAUCCAAAAGCAUGCUAGCUUUGGCUUGACAGUAGAUGGAAACAUUGUGACAUCAUUCACUCGAAAAUGCAGUAAUUGCUCUUCACCUUAUUGCCGACAGAUUGAUGCAAAAUUUAAAGUAUGGAUUCUCUUGGCAAGCAGAGAUAAUCACAAUAUACAACUUCCUGAUAUUGGCGGUACACUGCGUCGCAGAAGUGAAACAUGGAGAAAGAUUUGAAGAAAAGCUCUACCAAAGAAGAUGAAAACGUUUUUGUGGCUUUUGGAACAUGAGAAUUCAUAUUGCAUUUCUUAGAAAUAGAAGAGUACUUGCACAGACUGGCAGAUGCCUGCUAAGAUGUGCAGAGGAGGAAACAAUCAUGCACAUGAUUGGAGGCUGUCCGCAUGUAAAGGAAAAGCGGAAAAAGUUAGUGAUGUCAGAUUUGUGGCCACAAUAUUCAAACUUGGGGAGUAUAACAGUGGCUAAAGCUCUGUUUGGUUGGAGGUAAAUGGAGGGGAGGGGAGGGGAGGGGAGGGGAGGGAUACCAUUUCUUUCAUUUGGUUUAAAAUUUUUGGAGGGGAGGGGAGCCAAAAUUUUGGCUCCCCUCCCCUCCCCUCCCCUUAUUUUGGAUCCCUCCAAAUUGGGGUUUUUUUGAGGGAGAGCUAAGGUGGAGUUUCAUAUUAGAAGCAAGAAGAAUCUUCACCUAGUCUGUAUCGUGGAACAUUUUAUUCUUUUAUGUUUGUUGGGAUAUCUGGGUCUUGAGAUGUAAAAAGGCCUUUUGUAAUGAGGUUAACCAUACUGUAAGGAUUAUGCUAGAUAGUUCUCCAGGGCAAGAAUGAUGGGUAAUUUUGAGAACUCAAUCAGAUCUACUGUGGGGACGCACCUGUUGAGACAAAAAAUGAAUGUUGUUGAGCUACUUUAACCUAGAGAUUGAUGGAGCAGGAGCAGUCAAGUUUAAUGAAUGAAGCUCAUGUGGUGGAAUAGUGUUGGGCUUUUGCAAGAUAGUGGAACUUUGCCCUCCUACCUUUACAGAGAUAAAACGCAUUAUAGCUGGUGAUAUAUGUUAGACCAGGAUAUGAAGCUGAUCUUGAUUCUCUGAUACAAGAUACCAUCAGGCUAAACACCCCAAUCAAAGAUACUUGCUCAGAGUUGUGCGAGAAAUCUGAGGCCACAUUACAGUUUAUUGGAGGGAUAAACAGUUCUAUUGAUAAAAGGUGGUCAAGGCUAUAUGAGCUAAAAAGUGCAAGGCUAUAAUUAACGGCAUUCAUAAACAACAAACAGGUGCGGGUAAAUGUGGAGCUGGCUGAGGAUAUAUGUCUACAUGUUCAUGCACAACACGCGCAUAUGUAUUUAUAUGUACUAAUGUUGCGUUGUUUAUAAUUUGUACUGGUUAUUUCUUAAGACUUGUGCUUUAUUUGUAGGCAUAAGUUAUAUCUUUCACAUUUUUGGCAUAUGUUAUUAGAAUUUUGGUAUAUUUGUAAUUAAUAGUCAAUAUUUAUAAGAUCAUUUGUCUGCACAUUUUGAUCAUUAGUCAUGGUAUCAUUGUUAGCUUGA